rnacentral:rRNA from 1 species
GAUGAACGCUGGCGGCGUGCCUAACACAUGCAAGUCGAACGGAGUCCAGCCUUUAAGACCUUCGGGUCAAAGAGGGGAAGACUGAGUGGCGGACGGGUGAGUAACACGUGGGCAACCUGGCUCAUAGAGGGGGAUAACAGAGAGAAAUUUCUGCUAAUACCGCAUAAGCACACACUGCCGCAUGGCAGAGGGUGAAAAGAGAAUCGCUAUGAGAUGGACCCGCGUCUGAUUAGCCAGUUGGCAGGGUAAGAGCCUACCAAAGCGGCGAUCAGUAGCCGAUCUGAGAGGAUGAACGGCCACAUUGGGACUGAGACACGGCCCAAACUCCUACGGGAGGCAGCAGUGGGGGAUAUUGCACAAUGGGGGGAACCCUGAUGCAGCGACGCCGCGUGAGUGAAGAAGUAUUUCGGUAUGUAAAGCUCUAUCAGCAGGGAAGAUAAUGACAGUACCUGAAUAAGAAGCCCCGGCUAACUACGUG